UACGGGGGGGGCAAGCGUUGUUCGGAAUUACUGGGCGUAAAGGGCGCGUAGGCGGCUCGUCAAGUCGGGCGUGAAAUCUCCGGGCUUAACCCGGAAAAGUCGUUCGAUACUGUUGAGCUAGAGUGUGGAAGAGGCAACUAGAAUUCCGUGUGUAGCGGUGAAAUGCGUAGAUAUACGGAGGAAUACCUGAGGCGAAGGCGGGUUGCUGGGCCAACACUGACGCUGAGGCGCGAAAGCCAGGGGAGCAAACGGG
rnacentral:rRNA from 1 species